rnacentral:rRNA from 1 species
GUGGGGAAUCUUGCGCAAUGGGCGAAAGCCUGACGCAGCCAUGCCGCGUGGAUGAUGAAGGUCUUAGGAUUGUAAAAUCCUUUCACCGGUGAAGAUAAUGACUGUAGCCGGAGAAGAAGCCCCGGCUAACUUCGUGCCAGCAGCCGCGGUAAUACGAAGGGGGCUAGCGUUGCUCGGAUUUACUGGGCGUAAAGGGCGCGUAGGCGGACAUUUAAGUCAGGGGUGAAAUCCCGGGGCUCAACCUCGGAACUGCCUUUGAUACUGGGUGUCUUGAGUAUGAGAGGGGUGUGUGGAACUCCGAGUGUAGAGGUGAAAUUCGUAGAUAUUCGGAAGAACACCAGUGGCGAAGGAGACACACUGGCUCAUUACUGACGCUGAGGCGCGAAAGCGUGGGGAGCAAACAGGAUUAGAUACCCCUGUAGUCC